rnacentral:rRNA from 1 species
GUCUCCGCCCAUACCACCUUGAACGUACCCAAUCUUGCUGAUCUUAGAAGUUAAUCAGUGCGGGGUCCGAUUAGUCAGUUUUUGGGUGAGAAG